UCAGUAGCUGAGUGGAUAACACGAUGGCGUUUGAAGCUAAUGGUACUGGGUUCGAGUCCCAGAGUGA
rnacentral:tRNA from 1 species